rnacentral:lncRNA from 1 species
CGUGAUGACCGCUGGAUUCCUUCACCCCAGACCAGGGGCUUGACCACAGCCCAAGGCCCACGACGUAGGGGCCCGCAUACCUGAUGUACAUAACAAGCCUGGCUCAUCCAACCUUCAAGGCCGGGCUCGGCCCAUCUUCCUCACUCAAGUCGGCCCGGCCCGCACGAAGCAGACCCUCCCCACUCAGGCUUAGCAUCCGGCCCAACUCUCAGCCCGGCCCAGGAUUCGGAGUAAUAUUCACCAGACAGCCUGGCAGAUCCGCUCGAACGUACGCACGAGGAGAAUCAGAGGCCGUUACGCAUGGAGCAGGCGGCUGAUACCCUAGUACCUCCGAAUCCGCAUGGCAGAGACGCGUGGCCCAAUCCUGGAAAGACCUUUACACGUCACCAGCAAGCAAGACAAUGUAUAAAAGAGGAGUCCCCUCCUCAGAAAGCUAAGGCCUUAUUCAGUAACACAAAACCCUUGUAAAACCCUAUUCAAUUGGAUCUCAGAUCAUCA